rnacentral:lncRNA from 1 species
UUCUCUCUCUCUCUAUAUAUAAUAUAUUGAGUCUAGAGUUUUUUUGUACUCAUAAAUUUUCGACCGUUAAAUCUACUCUUUCGAUUAUUUUUAUCUGUUAAAUCAUACUAUUCAACUAACUACUCUCACUCAAUACAAGGAGACCACUAUCGUCAUAACCGGGGACUACUAUUAUUCCAACCGUAUAUUUUUUUCAUUCAACGACCGAAAACUUAUCAGUACAAAUAAAUUUAUACUCAUAAAAGUAUAGUAUCUCUAUCAUAUAUAUGAGUCCAGCUACUCUUAUAAGUACGUAUAGAUUUUUUUGUACUCAUAAGUUUUCUACCGUUACAUCUAUUCUUUUUAACUAUUUUUAUCUGUUAUAUCAUACUAUUCAACCAGCCACCCACUCAACCUUAGGAACUACUAUCAUCAACAAAAUUCCCUAAAUUCCCUUUCGUUAUUGUCUGACUCACAACAAUUUGUCA